rnacentral:rRNA from 1 species
CAGUCGCCGCGGUAAUACAGAGGGUGCGAGCGUUAAUCGGAUUUACUGGGCGUAAAGCGUGCGUAGGCGGCUUCUUAAGUCGGAUGUGAAAUCCCUGAGCUUAACUUAGGAAUUGCAUUCGAUACUGGGAAGCUAGAGUAUGGGAGAGGAUGGUAGAAUUCCAGGUGUAGCGGUGAAAUUCGUAGAGAUCUGGAGGAAUACCGAUGGCGAAGGCAGCCAUCUGGCCUAAUACUGACGCUGAGGUACGAAAGCAUGGGGAGCAAACAGGAUUAGAUACCCCAGUAGUCCCUGUCUCUUAUAC